GCCCGGUUAGCUCAGUCGGUAGAGCAUCAGACUUUUAAUCUGAGGGUCGUGGGUUCGAGCCCCACAUUGGGCG
rfam:Conidiobolus coronatus NRRL 28638 unplaced genomic scaffold CONCOscaffold_167, whole genome shotgun sequence.